UCAGGUCUCCAAGGUGAACAGCCUCUGGCCAAUGGAACAAUGUAGGCAAGGGAAGUCGGCAAAACGGAUCCGUAACUUCGGGAUAAGGAUUGGCUCUGAGGACUGGGCUCGGGGGUCCCGGCCCCGAACCCGUCGGCUGUCGGCGGAUUGCUCGAGCUGCUCACGCGGCGAGAGCGGGUCGCCGCGUGCCGGCCGGGGGACGGACCGGGAAUCGCCCCUUCGGGGGCUUUCCCCGAGCAU
rnacentral:rRNA from 1 species